UUGAAUGUUAAAAUUAUGUUUCAGAACUUUGAUCUGAUAUAAAAUGUAAAUCUAAGAAUAUGAUGAAUAAAGUUUAAAUGCCAACUCUACUAAAUAGAUUUUUUUGACCAAAUGACAAUCCAAGGUGAGAGGAUGGGUGAGCAACCAAUAUUCACGUGUAAAGCACAUGUCUUUCAUAUUGAUCCAAAAACUAAAAGAUCUUGGAUCCCGGCUUCUAAUGCAGCAGUUGCGGUUUCAUUCUUCUAUGAUUCUUCAAGAGCACUGUACAGGAUUAUAUCUGUGGAAGGAACAAAAGCGGUAAUUAACUCCACAAUUACACCAAACAUGACGUUCACCAAGACAAGUCAGAAAUUUGGCCAGUGGUCAGAUGUCAGAGCGAAUACAGUAUACGGACUAGGGUUCUCCUCUGAGGCAGAGCUAAACAAAUUUAUUGAAAAGUUUGCAGAGGUUAAAGAUGCCACCCGGGCAGGAAAAGCCAAUGGUAGUGGAACCACCCCGACAACGAGUGCCAAUGCUAGCCCUGUAACCGCAAGAUCAGGCAAAGAAUACAACGACAACUUGGAACACAUUCCUCCAAAUCAAAAUGAUGCGGUCAACUCAAACCUUCUUAAAUCCCAGCUAACUAUAGGUUCUGACAGUCCAAAGAAAGCUGGUCUGCCUGACAAGGUCCCUGCCCCGGCUUUAAACGGUGAUGCUCAGCUCAAAUAUGAGAAUGACCGGCUUAAGCUCGCGCUAGCUCAGAGCUCUGCUAAUGCAAAGAAGUGGGAGGUAGAACUAUUGACUCUGAAGAACAACAACGCCAGGUUGACCAGCGCGCUGCAGGAGUCAACCUCGAAUGUGGAGGAAUGGAAACGCCAACUUCAUUCAUACAAGGAGGAGAAUGCCAGGCUAAAAAUGAAUCUGCUUGAAGCUGAGGCCGGGAGAGGAAACUGUGAUUACGAUGCAGUUGGGGAGCUUAGAGAGCUCAGGGCACAUUUCGAGGAUGUUGAACGCGAACUAGGAGAGAAGAACGAAGAAAUUAGAAAACUAAAGACGGAGGGUGGAGGAGGAUCUAAACUAGAUCUAGAGGAGAUUAAGUCUCUCCAGGUGGAGAACGAGAGUUUGAAACUAACCUUGGAUAAAACUCAAUCCCAGUUAGAUACAUCACUUGAUGCUCAGGAUCAGCAGCGGAAGGUUCUGGAAGCGAUAAAUCGUCAAUUCGGCGAUUAUGUUCAUCAUCUGGGAGAAUUGCAGAACGAACUGACCCAGGUGUUAAACACCUAGACUACACUAAGCCACCAGGAGGAGCUAAUGAACUAGGAUUCCAAAUUUCCAAAAUGUCGGGAAACAAGAUUAAAGAGACAGUUAAGAAGAAUCUAGAAAAUUAAUCAAAAUGGUUCGCGCAAUAGAUGUACAGUACACAUGGUUUUUGUUAGUGUGUACAGUGUAUAUGUACAUAUUACACAAGGUACGUAAUGUACAAGAAACAUAUUUUUUCGACAAAAAAGCAAGAUUUUAUCCGAAUGUCGUUUCUUUUUUAAAUGAUUUUAAACUAACAAUAAUUUUUCUAGAUUCUUCAGCAAUUUGAUGGGAUAUAUACAGUCCUAUUCUAAAUAACCCAGAAUAAUAUAAGUUUAUUAAUGAAUUCAUAAAUAGUAUCGACAUUAAAAUAUAGGUAACCUGAUUUUAGCAAUAUUUUUAAUGAAACAUGAAUCACAAAAUAGCCCUAAUCCUGCCAUGUUUUUGCUCUAAAAAAUAAAAAGAUUUUGUUUAAAUUUCAAUUUAUUUAAAAUCGUUCUGAAGAAAAUCAUAUCUCUGAUAUUUUGGAAAUGGCAGGACUAGGAUUAUUGUAAAAAAUAUGCCGGUUACCUUUAAUUAAUGCCGCAAGAUAUUUCUAAGGUCAAAGACGACCUUGAAGUUAUCAAUUGAUCAAUUUAUAUUAGUCCGGGUUAUUUAGAAUAGAAUUCAGGAUUAUAAUUUAUAAUUUGUAAAUAAAUCUAGACUUGUCUUAACAUGAGAUGUAUUCAGUAUUGUAUGUUAUAUGUAUGUAACUAACUAAACCAAAACCUAUGUUCUGAAAAUAUUAUGACGAAAAGUAUUAAUUUACUAAAAAUAAGGCCUAAACUUUAGUGAAAGGGCAAUUUUUUUAAAAAAAACUUCAUUUAAUGAAAAUAACUAAGGUUUAAAAAUUGUAAAGUUUUCUUAAAUAUGUUUUUUCUUUGAAUAAUCUACUUUAAAAAAUAAUUAUAAAUCACAGUAAAGAAAUGAAUUUUUGAUGUUGAAAGCAAAAUUAGGCGACUGUUAACCCCAUAUUGGAAUACAAUUUGUUAAGUAAUUAUGUUUUGUAGUGUAUUGUUAUAUAUUUACAUUCCUGAAAUAAAUGUCUUAAAUUUGAA
rnacentral:misc_RNA from 1 species